rnacentral:rRNA from 1 species
AACGAACGCUGGCGGCAGGCUUAACACAUGCAAGUCGAACGGGUGUAGCAAUACAUCAGUGGCAGACGGGUGAGUAACACGUGGGAACCUUCCUUAAGGUACGGGACAGCUCAGGGAAACUUGAGCUAAUACCGUAUACGUCCGAGAGGAGAAAGAUUUAUCGCCUUUAGACGGGCCCGCGUCGGAUUAGCUAGUUGGUGGGGUAACGGCCUACCAAGGCGACGAUCCGUAGCUGAUCNGAGAGGAUGAUCAGCCACACUGGGACUGAGACACGGCCCAGACUCCUACGGGAGGCAGCGAGUGGGGAAUCUUGGACAAUGGGCGCAAGCCUGAUCCAGCCAUGCCGCGUGAGUGAAGAAGGCCUU